rnacentral:rRNA from 1 species
GUCGUAACAAGGUUUCCGUAGGUGAACCUGCGGAAGGAUCAUUAACGAGUUUUUGUGAAGGGUUGUAGCUCUCGUGUGCACGCCCCGAUCAUCCACUUACACCUGUGCACUUUUUGCGGGAGGGAGAAAUCCCGACCGCGUCUCACACACACGCAAGUAACAGAAUGUAAAACAGCGCAUGGCGCAUUUAUUAAUACAACUUUCAACAACGGAUCUCUUGGCUCUCGCAUCGAUGAAGAACGCAGCGAAAUGCGAUAAGUAAUGUGAAUUGCAGAAUUCAGUGAAUCAUCGAAUCUUUGAACGCACCUUGCGCUCCUUGGUAUUCCGAGGAGCAUGCCUGUUUGAGUGUCAUGAACAUAUCAACUCGAGGAAUUUAUUCUCUCGAGCUUGGACUUGGAGGUCUUUGCCGGCGAUCGUCGGCUCCUCUCAAAUGCAUUAGCUGGGCUUUAGCUCAGGGGAUCAAUCGGUGUGAUAAUUAUCUGCGCCGCUCUGCCCCUGGAUCCCGCUUACAGUCGUCCUUCGGGACAAACAUUUCAUCAUCUGACCUCAAAUCAGGUAGGACUA